rnacentral:tRNA from 1 species
UAGCUCAGUUUGUAGAGCACCUGACUAGAGAUUCAGGGAGCCCAGGUUCGAAUCCUGG